rnacentral:tRNA from 3 species
GCGGGGAUGGUGGAAUUGGUAGACACGUACGUUUGAGGGGCGUAUGCCGCAAGGCGUCCGGGUUCAAGUCCCGGUCUCCGCACCA